AACAGCCCACUCAACCUUUUGAUCCGACCAGUGUUUUGGUUUCAGCCUCAGACGCAAUGGGUUUUCGUUGACAAGACAACCGCCCCACCUACUUAUU